GAGUGCGAUCAUACCAGCACUAAUGCACCGGAUCCCAUCAGAACUCCGAAGUUAAGCGUGCUUGGGCGAGCACGAGAGUAGUACUAGGAUGGGUGACCCCCUGGGAAGUCCUCGUGUUGCACCCC
rnacentral:rRNA from 1 species